GAUGAACGUUGGCGGUGUGCCUAAUACAUGCAAGUCGAACGGAGCUAAUAGCAAUAUUGGCUUAGUGGCGAACGGGUGAGUAACGCGUUGGUGAUCUGCCUUGAAGUGUGGAAUAACGUUCCGAAAGGAUCGCUAAUACCGCAUGUGCUCUCGAUUUUCAGAAAGUUGAGAGUAAAGGAUUUAUUCGCUUCAAGAGGAGCCUGCGUCCCAUCAGCUGGUUGGUAGGGUAACGGCCUACCAAGGCUAUGACGGGUAGGGGACCUGAGAGGGUGGCCCCCCACAAUGGAACUGAAACACGGUCCAUACACCUACGGGUGGCAGCAGUAGGGAAUAUUAGAAAUGGACGAAAGUCUGAUCUAGCAACACCGCGUGUGCGAAGAAGGCCUUCGGGUCGUAAAGCACUUUUUGGAAGGAAUAGGAAGGAAUGUACUUCCAGAAUAAGUCUCGGCUAACUACGUG
rnacentral:rRNA from 1 species